UUUAUAGGCGUCAAGUUGUCUAUAAUUAGGUAUCAUAACAAAAUAUUUGCUCUAAUACUGUGCAGUUUAUGUUUUCUUGUUUAUUUUCAAUACUUCGAAUCCCUCAUAACUUUCAAAUAUUUCUAAUAUUUAAUAUGGAUAAGGUGAUAUAACGAAGAGAGGUUUUUGGGGGCAGAUACACUUUCAAAUUAUUCUGCCAUUUUUGGAAGCUCGCUUUAUUGCACAAUUUUUCAAGUAUGAAAAAUUACAUAUUUCGAAAUUGCCCAAAGACGCAAAUCUGAGUAAACAAUCCCAUUAAAUAUCCUUCCUCAUCAAGAAACAUCUUACAACACAAUCUCCAAUGAAUAUCAGUUAAAACAUGGCAAUAAUGCAUUUAAUGUCAUUAACUUAAGCAAUCCUCAUCAUCCAAAAGAUCCUCAAGUGUCAACGAAGUGCCACUUGAGUGCUAAAUAGCCAACACAAAAACAACGCAGAGAAGAUUACUUCAAACGGAUCCGAUGUCUUCAGAAGUGAUAUCCCGACGCAUAUUCUCCGCAAGACCCGGGAACAUUUAUUUUGACAGGAUCCUAAUUUUCGUGUAAAAGGUGCAUGAUUUACGCAUUUCGGCUACUUAACUCAGUACAUGUUUGUAUCUCCACUUAGUGCGUACUCUGAAACAUGACCAACUCUCGAAAUAAUUCAUCCAUAAAAUUUUCAUCGGAUUUCAAAAGAUAGGUCGCCUAAAACAGAAUCCGCCCCGGAUGUAACCUUUUACGAGAAGUGGCUGAAGUAUUUUAUGUGAAAGACUAUUUGUCGUCUGUUGUUGGGUGUAAAAUGCCGAGAUCUAUAUGGGCAUGAUUGGUGCAUGGCAUAGAUGUGGAGUACUUCAUGAAAGUAAAUGGACAGAAAAAUAAUUUUCGACGGCACUUUUUCAAAAUGAAGAACGUUUAAGCCCAUAUACAAAAGUAGAAAAGUAGUACAAUAAUUUUCGUAAAAGAAAAUCUUAAGUCAGAGUUAUAUGGAACUUAGAACUCAUCGAUGACAUCGGUGAUCUGUAGUGAAUUGAUACUACAGAAUCGACGGCGGGUUGAAACAGCCGAAACUCUGAAGCUGAGGAAACUGAGAAUGAAGAUCCCGAAGGGUCAAAUAACCAGUCGCUGUCCUGCACAAAGUCUACACUGAAGGGGGCGAAACAUCUGGCAUCAUAUUGGACUGCCCUCGAGGAAUGGUUCAAUCAAUUGCACUUAUCGGAUUAUCUAAUUAUGACUUUUCACCUAUAUGAACUUUGAACAUAAAGUUAGUAGGCUAAAUCCGCUAGAAAAUCUGUAGGAAUCAUUUCCGCGAUGACUAUCACUGCUUCAUCUGAUGUUAUUCCGCACUGAAUGCACACUCAGUACAAUUAAACA